CCUACGGGAGGCAGCAGUGGGGGAUAUUGCACAAUGGGGGCAACCCUGAUGCAGCGACGCCGCGUGAGCGAUGGAAUACUUCGGUAUGUAAAGCUCUGUCAGCAGGGAAGAGAAUGACGGUACCUGACCAAGAAGCCCCGGCUAAAUACGUGCCAGCAGCCGCGGUAAUACGUAGGGGGCAAGCGUUAUCCGGAUUUACUGGGUGUAAAGGGUGCGUAGGCGGAAGGGUAAGGCUGGUGUGAAAGCCCGGGGCUCAACCCCGGGACUGCAAUGGAAACUGCCCCGCUCGAGUGCCGGAGGGGCAGGCGGAAUUCCUAGUGUAGCGGUGGAAUGCGGAGAUAUUAGGAGGAACACCAGUGGCGAAGGCGGCCUGCUGGACGGUGUACUGACGCUGAGGCUCGAAAGCGUGGGGAGCAAACAGGAUUAGAUACCCUUGUAGUC
rnacentral:rRNA from 1 species